rnacentral:misc_RNA from 1 species
GAUGAAGAACGUAGUGAAACGCGAAAGGUAAUGCGAAUUGCAGAAUCAGUGAGUCAUCGAAUCUUUGAACGCACAUUGCGCCCGCCAGUAUUCUGGCGGGCAUGCCUGUUCGAGCGUCAUUUCAACCCUCAGGCCCCCAGUGCCUGGCGUUGGGGAUCGGCGCGGCGCCCUCCGGGGCGCUGCCGGCCCCGAAAUUCAGUGGCGGUCUCGCUGUAGCCCUCCUCCGCGUAGUAGCACAACCUCGCGGCCUGGAGCUCGGCGGUGGCCAUGCCGUAAAACACCCCACUUCUGAAAGUUGACCUCGGAUCAGGUAGGAAUACCCGCUGAACUUAAGCAUAUCAAUAAGCGGAGGA